rnacentral:rRNA from 1 species
UACGUAGGGGGCUAGCGUUGUCCGGAAUCAUUGGGCGUAAAGCGCGUGUAGGCGGCCCGGUAAGUCCGCUGUGAAAGUCCAGGGCUCAACCCUGGGAUGCCGGUGGAUACUGUCGGGCUCGAGUCCGGAAGAGGCGAGUGGAAUUCCUGGUGUAGCGGUGAAAUGCGCAGAUAUCAGGAAGAACACCCGUGGCGAAGGCGGCUCUCUGGGACGGUACUGACGCUGAGACGCGAAAGCGUGGGGAGCGAACAGG